UACGUAGGGGGCUAGCGUUGUCCGGAAUCAUUGGGCGUAAAGAGCUCGUAGGCGGCUUGUCGCGUCGACUGUGAAAUCCCGCGGCUCAACCGCGGGUCUGCAGUCGAUACGGGCAGGCUAGAGUUCGGUAGGGGAGACUGGAAUUCCUGGUGUAGCGGUGAAAUGCGCAGAUAUCAGGAGGAACACCGAUGGCGAAGGCAGGUCUCUGGGCCGAUACUGACGCUGAGGAGCGAAAGCGUGGGGAGCGAACAGG
rnacentral:rRNA from 1 species